UACGUAAGGGGCAAGCGUUAUCCGGAUUUACUGGGUGUAAAGGGAGCGUAGACGGCAGUGCAAGUCCGGAGUGAAAGCCCGGGGCUCAACCCUGGGACUGCUCUGGAAACUGUAAAGCUGGAGUGCGGGAGGGGCAGGCGGAAUUCCUGGUGUAGCGGUGAAAUGCGUAGAUAUCAGGAGGAACACCGGCGGCGAAGGCGGCCUGCUGGACCGUAACUGACGUUGAGGCUCGAAAGCGUGGGGAGCAAACAGG
rnacentral:rRNA from 1 species